rnacentral:rRNA from 1 species
AGGACGAACGCUGGCGGCGUGCUUAACACAUGCAAGUCGUGGGGGGGUAGCAAUACCUCACCGGCGAACGGGUGCGUAACACGUGAGCAACAUUCCGAUUUCUGGGGGAUAGCCGGCCCAACGGCCGGGUAAUACCGCAUACGCUCAUUGAGAGGAGUCUCUCGAUGAGGAAACCUCCGGGGGAAAUCGAGUGGCUCGCGGCCUAUCAGCUAGUUGGCGGGUAAUGGCCCACAAGGCAAUGACGGGUAGCUGGUCUGAGAGGAUGGCCAGCCACAUUGGGACUGAGAAACGGCCCAGACUCCGAGGAGGCAGCAGUGGGAAUCGUGCGCAAGUGGAACGAAAGUCGUAGGACGUCAGGCGACGGCCGAGUGGCGGGAGGAAGCGUCGUUCGGGGUAGUAAACCGGCGUCGGUUACGG